UACGUAGGGUCCGAGCGUUGUCCGGAAUUACUGGGCGUAAAGCGCACGUAGGCGGCUUUGUAAGUUAGAGGUGAAAGCCCGGAGCUCAACUCCGGAACUGCCUUUAAGACUGCAUCGCUUGAAUCCAGGAGAGGUGAGUGGAAUUCCGAGUGUAGAGGUGAAAUUCGUAGAUAUUAGGAAGAACACCAGUGGCGAAGGGCGGCUCACUGGCCCGGUACUGACGCUGAGGCGCGAAAGCGUGGGGAGCAAACAGG
rnacentral:rRNA from 1 species